GAUAACCCUAACGUAUCCCUAAGGCAUGUCGUUGCUCUCUAUACUUUUACUUAGAGUAGAUGUAAUGCCCUAGAUAAUUUAUUUCUAUUUUUGUAAAAAUCUGACACAAAUAUCUAUCUGCUUCAGUGGUUAAGUGUUCAAGGUGUGUGUGGGAGGUUUUGGGUUCAAGUCUCAUCUUUACCAGAUUUUUUUAUUUUUAGGCCCAAGCCCUAUUCUUGUUCAGUGGGCUUAUAUUAAAUUGCUUGUAAAUUCAUGCUAGAAUUAGCCUGUUGGUUCGAGUGGUAAGGGAGUUGGUGUGUUAGGCAUUCUGUGUUCGAAUCCCUGCAUGAGCAUGGAUAAUAUUUUUGCUCUAUUGACUGAUAGAGUUUUAGUGGAGUUUGGAUUUUGAGGAAGUGAUUUGUUAGUGUGAGAGUGGGGAGAAAUGUGGGGGAUUUGGGUAGUUUUAUAUUAUUUUUAUUUUUGAUAUUAUC
rnacentral:lncRNA from 1 species